AGGCUGCUGCUUAUAACGGGGCUUUCAUUGAGAUCCUGACCCCGAAGCGUCAGUAAAACAUGGCACAUUCUUGACUUUCAAACAAACUGCUGGGAGGUGGCCAGCGUGGAGCACAGAGCUGGGUUUUAGAGGGGCUGGAGCUGCACAGUGAUGUGCCACCCCUUUCAUUAGCUGUUGCUGACUGUGAAAAUGCCUUCCUGGAUAGGAAUUGCACAUAAAGCGCUGGAAUCCUGUAAUCACAGCACAUCAAGAUGAUGGGAACUCAAUUAAAUUAAGGAGAAACACCAAGAUUGUGAAACUUGGCGGCAGGACAAGAGCUGGUUGCAACACAGGCUGGACUUUAGAAGCGUGACCUUUUGACCUGAAUCAUGACAAGUGAUUAUGAGGAAGAGCUGCUCUCACUUCUAAAUUAUUGCCAUGCAAUGAGCAGAUUUCCAUGGGGUGGCUGAAGUCAUGUCCUGAGAUACGAGGGAUACAAGCAUCCCAUUCCUGCUCUACUUUGUACUACAAGACUGGUCUUAGCGAAGCUUAUUCUCUUAAAAUGUCCUGCCUGACUGAAUAAAACACAAUUUCUGUUCUAAUAUUGUUGGGCUGUGAAACAUUGCAAUAGAGGCACAAAUGUGGGCAAGAACAAGUUUUACUGCAGACGCUUUAUCUUCUGAUAGAUUGUCCCAGUGCUGCAUUCCUCAUUCCCUGGCAGUUUGGUCCAGCUCAGAUUGGAAGAUGGUGAAGAUCUUGGGAGAUCUCCAAUAACGUGGGGCAAAAUGCACUGAUAACAGAAAUGCAAUGGCUUUGGUUGAUCUGUAGAAGGAAAAAAAAAAAAGAAACGGUCCAUAGUGAGAAUGCAGAAUAAGAUUGAGAGGAAAAACUGAGCCCUAAAAGGGAGGCUGGUGCG